GACGAACGCUGGCGGCGCGCUUAACACAUGCAAGUCGAACGGAAAGGCCUGCUUUCCCUUGUGGAUUGCGGGUACUCGAGUGGCGAACGGGUGAGUAACACGUGAGUGAUCUGCCCCCAACUUGGGUAUAAGCCUGGGAAACUGGGUCUAAUUCCCGAUAGGACUGCAGGGUGGUGCCUGUGGUGGAAAACGAUUUUCUAGUGGUUGGGGAUGAGCUCGCGGCCUCUCAGCUUGUUGGUGGGGUAAUGGCCUACCAAGGCGGCGACGGGUAGCCGGCCUGAGAGGGUGGACGGCCACAGUGGGACUGAGAUACGGCCCAGACUCCGACGGGAGGCAGCAGUGGGGAAUAUUGCACAAUGGGCGGAAGCCUGAUGCAGCGACGCCGCGUGGGGGAUGACGGCCUUCGGGUUGUAAACUCCUUUCGACCGCGAGGAAGCCACCUGGUUGGAAGGGUGGUGACGGUAGUGGUAGAAGAAGCACCGGCUAACUACGUG
rnacentral:rRNA from 1 species